UUUAAUUUUGUUGACCAAGAGGUUUUUUUGUAAAGAUACAGGUGAGGAUGAGCCCACGCCCUCGGACUCCUCUUCUCUCUCUGGGACACAAGAGAUGGUUCAUCCUGAGAUUCUUCAUCCUGAGUGAGCUCCCAUUUGGAAAAGGCUCCAGGGGAACUCAUGUGUCUCAUCUGCAAAGCAAAGCAGUCCCCUCUUUGCUCCGUUCCUCACGGGCAGCGUGCUUGAGGACCUGUCCUCCUCGCGGGCAGCAUGCUUGAGGACUGGAUCCUUGCUGAGUGAACCGUGAGAAUUCCUCAUUUUGGUUGAGAAUGGUGAGGUUUCUUAGAGAUCAGGAAGCCAGUGUGCCAAGGUCUAGGCAUCGCCCACUGCCCGUCUGACGGAGGGUCUGCUCUGUCCCCCGCGUGUUUCUAGGAGACAGCACAGAGCUCUGCAGGAUGGUGUGGGGAGCUCUAGGGGCCCUGUGGCUGGGUAGUCAGAGUGGAUUUAGAGAAAGCUUGGGUUUUGCUCAUUUGUGAGUUUGGGGAAAACAUCCUUUGCUGGGGUUGUCAACUUAUAAACAUCAAGUUAUUCAUAGAGUAUCUUUAUUCUUUUGCUGGCUACAUUAGUGAUUCCCUCCCUUUUAGUCCUGAUCCUGCUGUCUUCCCACUGUCAGUAGGGCAGGAGUUUCCCAUGUUGGUGAUGUUUGCAGAGAACCAUGUUUCUGCCUCAUUUUUUUUUCUUGUCCUUCCUCAUUACUUACACAUUAUCCAUACAGAGUUUUAGCUCUGCUUAUUUUAAGUAUCUUCCUUUUGUUUUCUUUGGUUUAAAGUAAGCCUUUUCUAGUUCCUUGAGUGAAAACUUAGGCUCCUUAUUUGGAAAUUUUUCUUGAUUGCCACUGGAAGCAUUUAACUAUAAGCAUUUAAUUACAUACAUACCAUUCUUAGCCUGACUUAACUGCACCCCACAUUUGCUGACAUGCUGUCCUGCUCUCUCUUUCUUUCAACCACAGAUUAUUUUAUUAAUUUCUGUUGGGGUUUCCUUUUAUGAGU
rnacentral:lncRNA from 1 species